CGGCGCUCAAAAUAGGGUCGGACGGGUAACCGUACACAGACAUACAUUUCUUUUUUUGCCUAAGCACAACAACUGUGUCCUGUCCCUUAACUCAGUCGCACCAAAAUUUUUCAAAAUAUCUAGGGACAUUUGUACCAAAUCCGGGUCUGUUCGCCUUGAUUCGUGUUCGCCCUAGCACCUGUUCGCCCAGAGUCCAUUCGCCCUGAUUUUUAUUUUUUUCUAAUUGUUGUCUAGUCACAUAAUUUUAAAUAUUUUAACAAAAUAUGUUAAAGUUUGUUGAAAAAUUGACAAAAUAUUUAUAUUGCCGCAAUCAAUUUAUCAUUUUCCCUUUG
rnacentral:lncRNA from 1 species